CGCUGACUUGAAUGACUGACUGGAUGACCAAAUCCAAGACUCUCUACUAGUUCCACAACAUCUACGAUGGAAUUGUGUUCCACCAGGGCUUGCAGGACCUCCUCGUCGAGCUCUACGAUUCAUCCAGGACGAGGUUCGUCUUCUAAGCUGUAGUUUCCUGUACGGAAUUUCUGGAAACACCAUUGGCACUGGCUUAAUGUCCGAUCCCCUUACACAGCAUUAAUAUUCCUCGCACUUUCCGUUGCGCUGUUGCCUUUAUUGAAAUCUUGAAACAAAAUACGCCGAAUAUGCUCCUUUCUCACUUCCAUUUUAGCUUCGGAAAUGCACUGUUAAAAUCGAACUGCACUCUUCAAAACUUGCACUAAGAAUAAGUAUUUAUUACCUGCUUCUGUAACAAGUUAAUGCAUGCAAAGAAAAAAACAUAUUAAUAAUAGGAUGACCCAAUAUAUUGGUUUCAAAUAUUGGUGCAAGGCCUGCGAUUUUGGAAUAGAGAUAAGUCGAUUAUAUCGAUACCAGUACUCAGCUGGUAAUAUUUUAACGACUCUAAAAGGAUGAAAGGCGGAAUUUGAACUCAGAGCAUAAAGACGGACGACAUGCUGCUAAGCAUUUCACCCGACGUACAAACUAUCCUGUCAGCACUCCAUCUUAAGUUUGACGGGCAUAUAUAUUAAAAGAAGAAAUUUUAACGAUUCUGUAGAGAGGAAACCUUUUAAAUUUAAUGUGAAAUGACAAUAAUAUAAUAAUAUUUAUGUAACUAAAAUCAUUUAAACCGAUUAAUACUCAAGUUAGAGACUUGAAUAACAACGUUAAUUGUACAAUUCACAAGCUUGAUGUGGUUAAGGGAGGAAAACAUAAAUCUUCACUUUAGACUGCAUUGUCUGAAUUAAUCAAGUACUCUAAAAAUCCACACUUGAGGUUUAAAUUUGAGGACAAAGCUCCGGGUAACGGCCUGCCACUUCGCGUGAGCUUAUGUGCACCCCUGUGUGUCGUAUAUCUCAUUUCUACAUACAUACAUACAUAUAUAUAUAUAUAUAUAUAUAUAUAUAUAUAUAUACACAUACACAAAUACGUAUAAUUAUACAAAUACACAGACUUUUAUAGACACAUACACACCACACACACAUACACACAUAUAUAUAUAUACUCUUUUACUCUUUUACAUAUUUCAGUCAUUUGACUGCGGCCAUGCUGGAGCACCGCACUCAAUCGAGCAAAUCGACCCCAGGACUUAUUCUUUGUAAGCCCAGUACUUACUCCAUUGGUCUCUUUUUGCCGAACCGCCAAGCUACGGGGAUGUAAACACACCAGAAUCGGUUGUCAAGCGAUGAGGAGGGACAAACAAACACACGCACAUAUAUAUAUAUACACAUAUAUACUACGGGCUUCUUUUAGUUUCCGUCCAUACAUAUAUACAUACAUAUAUAUUUUUUCUAUUCAUAUAUAUAAACACGCACACAUUUGCACACCCACAGAGAUACACAGACACAGAAACACACACUUACAUUUACACACACACGCACACCUACAUAUAUAUAUAUGUAUGUAUGUAUGUAUGUAUAAGUAUUUGGAGAAUCUGCCUCAGUUCUACCUAUUAAUUUAUGUGUAUACCAAUAAAUUUACCUUACACACACAUAGAGACACGCACAUAUACUCACACACUCAUACAUACACACAUGCACACACAUACACAUAUUCAUAGGUGUGUUUCUUCAAUUAGACAUGCAUCUUUGAGCAUACUGCCAUAAUAUGCAAACGAGGUAAACUAACCUGUUUAUUCUCAUUUUUUUUUUUCUUUUUUUCUUUUCCUUUAGCUAUGUGCCGUGUUUAUGUGACAUCUGUUAUGGCUAUAAAACGGUCGACUUAUCACAGAAUCAGAGAGAAAGCAAAAAAGACGAAUCAACGUGAGUUCAACUUUUGCAUAUUUUAUGAUUCUGG
rnacentral:lncRNA from 1 species